rnacentral:misc_RNA from 1 species
GAUGAAGAACGUAGCGAAAUGCGAUAAGUAAUGUGAAUUGCAGAAUUCAGUGAAUCAUCGAAUCUUUGAACGCACAUUGCGCCCCUUGGUAUUCCGAGCGGCAUGCCUGUUCGAGCGUCAUUAUAACCCCUCAAGCUCAGCUUGGUGUUGGGGCCUGCUGCACUGGCAGCCCUUAAAAUCAGUGGCGGCGCCAUCUGGCUCUAAGCGUAGUAAUUCUUCUCGCUAUGGAGUCCUGGUGGAUGCUUGCCAUCAACCCCCAAUUUUUCUAUGGUUGACCUCGGAUCAGGUAGGGAUACCCGCUGAACUUAAGCAUAUCAAUAAGCGGAGGA